AGAGUUUGAUUCUGGCUCAGGAUGAACGCUGGCGGCGUGCUUAACACAUGCAAGUCGAGCGAAGCACUCUGCUUUGAUUCUUUCGGGAUGAAGAGCAUUGUGACUGAGCGGCGGACGGGUGAGUAACGCGUGGGUAACCUGCCUCAUACAGGGGGAUAACAGUUAGAAAUGGCUGCUAAUACCGCAUAAGACCACAGCACCGCAUGGUGCAGGGGUAAAAACUCCGGUGGUAUGAGAUGGACCCGCGUCUGAUUAGCUAGUUGGUGGGGUAACGGCCUACCAAGGCGACGAUCAGUAGCCGACCUGAGAGGGUGACCGGCCACAUUGGGACUGAGACACGGCCCAAACUCCUACGGGAGGCAGCAGUGGGGAAUAUUGCACAAUGGGGGAAACCCUGAUGCAGCGACGCCGCGUGAGCGAAGAAGUAUUUCGGUAUGUAAAGCUCUAUCAGCAGGGAAGAAAAUGACGGUACCUGACUAAGAAGCCCCGGCUAACUACGUGCCAGCAGCCGCGGUAAUACGUAGGGGGCAAGCGUUAUCCGGAUUUACUGGGUGUAAAGGGAGCGUAGACGGCGAGGCAAGUCUGAUGUGAAAACCCGGGGCUCAACCCCGUGACUGCAUUGGAAACUGUUUUGCUUGAGUGCCGGAGAGGUAAGCGGAAUUCCUAGUGUAGCGGUGAAAUGCGUAGAUAUUAGGAGGAACACCAGUGGCGAAGGCGGCUUACUGGACGGCAACUGACGUUGAGGCUCGAAAGCGUGGGGAGCAAACAGGAUUAGAUACCCUGGUAGUCCACGCCGUAAACGAU
rnacentral:rRNA from 1 species